rnacentral:rRNA from 1 species
GAUGAACGCUGGCGGCGUGCUUAACACAUGCAAGUCGAACGAUGAAGCCCAGCUUGCUGUGUGGAUUAGUGGCGAACGGGUGAGUAACACGUGAGUAACCUGCCCUUAACUCUGGGAUAAGCCUGGGAAACUGGGUCUAAUACCGGAUAGGAGCGUCCACCGCAUGGUGGGUGUUGGAAAGCUUUAUCGGUUUUGGAUGGACUCGCGGCCUAUCAGCUUGUUGGUGGGGUAAUGGCUCACCAAGGCGACGCCGGGUAGCCGGCCUGAGAGGGUGACCGGCCACACUGGGACUGAGACACGGCCCAGACGCCUACGGGAGGCAGCAGUGGGGAAUAUUGCACAAUGGGCGCAAGCCUGAUGCAGCGACGCCGCGUGAGGGAUGAAGGCCUUCGGGUUGUAAACCUCUUUCAGUAGGGAAGAAGCGAAAGUGACGGUACCUGCAGAAGAAGCACCGGCUAACUACGUG